AACGAACGCUGGCGGCAUGCCUAACACAUGCAAGUCGAACGAGAUCUUCGGGUCUAGUGGCGCACGGGUGCGUAACGCGUGGGAAUCUGCCCUUUGGUUCGGAAUAACAGUUGGAAACGACUGCUAAUACCGGAUGAUGACGAAAGUCCAAAGAUUUAUCGCCAGAGGAUGAGCCCGCGUAGGAUUAGCUAGUUGGUGUGGUAAAGGCGCACCAAGGCGACGAUCCUUAGCUGGUCUGAGAGGAUGAUCAGCCACACUGGGACUGAGACACGGCCCAGAUUCCUCCGGGGGGAAGCAGUGGGGAAUAUUGGACAAUGGGCGAAAGCCCGAUCCAGCAAUGCCGCGUGAGUGAUGAAGGCCUUAGGGUUGUAAAGCUCUUUUACCCGGGAUGAUAAUGACAGUACCGGGAGAAUAAGCUCCGGCUAACUCCGUGCCAGCAGCCGCGGUAA
rnacentral:rRNA from 1 species